AAAGGAACAGUCCCACAGCAGCACCACCAGUAACAGGAAAUGGUUUAGGUGAAGGUGGACAGCAGAGCAUGAGAAGCAGAGGUUGCAGAGGCAGCCAGAAUGAAUUGGCUAAAGGAGGAAAGAAUUAGAGGGGAUCGAAGGUUUCAGGGAAGAAACACCAAAGGCCAAGAAAGAGGAAGAGGAGAGGAGCCACUUGAAAAUGGAGGAUAUGAGAGUCAAGACUACGUAUUAUAUGUUUCAAAGAUCUUAAGACUGUGCCUUCCAUAUUUCAUUAUCUUUUGAAGUGAUAAGCCUCUUUGCAGGUUCAGACAUUGGGUAGGAAUUUUCUUGGUGUGACUGAGACAGCCAAAGUGGGAGCCCUGCAGAAGUCCAGAUGGCGGUGUGUCCACGUACCCAGCCAAAAAAUCCAGCGCAGGAAGAGCAGGAAAGUGACAGCAGGCUGGAAGGAAAUGGGUAUCACUGUGGAUGGAAUGCUGGAAUGUUGCUCCACUUUGGAAGGUUCGUUGGACAUGUUCUAUUAUGGAAGCCUAUUUUCACCAAGUGUCUGGUCACAUCUUGAAAUAUAUACCCAGAAAAUUCCUGACCUGAGAACAUGCAUACUUGGCACCAGUGCUAAAGAUACAGGAGAGAACAUCCCACUUCCCUUCUCAAGAAAACCAGCAGGUCAUUUCCUGAGCUCUAGAGGAGCUGUCUCAGGAGGAUACUCUGUGGAGGGCAAGGAAAUGGUUUCUGUUCCAGCAUCCAACCACAGACCACCACCCCCAAAUUCUCAGCAAGAUCUGGGGACAACAGGAGGAUCCCCUUGUGAAAGCCUCCCAGUGGGUGUCUUAGUGUGGAAUCUCUGUCCCGCUUUGAUGCUGUGUGUAUGUUGACAUUGUAGAAAGGUCACCUAUGCCUCUCUGUCCUCACAGAUGACCCAGGAAACCUGCCUGAGCAGAUUAAGAAAAUGCCUCAGCAGAGUCUAGGGAAGGGAAUGUUCAUCCCUCCAUGGCCUCUAGACUGGAUUGCCUGAGAAGGGGAGAGUCCUGGGACCUCAUUUCCCAGGCCAUCCAUAACUUAAAGAUGGUGCAGUUGAAGCCAUCUACUUGUACUGUAUCUCACUGGUGUUGGAUAGAAAUAAUGUACAAACAAAAAAAUAUUGAAGUAGAAUUCCAAUAGAAUUUACUCUAAUUGGUAAUUGGAAAACUGGGAUGUCUGAGAAAAAUCCAAAGGAAUAUAAACUCCCAGACACUCCUGUUCCUCAGCAGCAGUCACUGUUGUUAAGGUGACAGAUCUUUUCUUGUAUAGAACCAGCAAAAUGCCAAUGCUAUGCCGAAACACCAACUCUAACAACCAACUGGAUCUAAUCCUAGAAGAGACCGUAGAGGGCAGAAGAGAUUCCUCUGGACCCUGCACUUCUGGUCCCAGCACUUCCCACAAACCAUCAGAGAUCCAGAAAGUGCAAUGGGGAAGGAACAGAGUCUAGAAACGUGAAAUCAAACACAAACCCCAUCAACAGACCCACCUACAUUAUGUCAGGUGAUUUUGUCAGAGGCACCCCAAGGAAAUCAAGGCAGAGGAAAUGGUCUGUCCACAAAGCACUGCAGGACAUGUAUGGAAAAGGAAACAGUAGGGAACACAUUAGGAAACUGAACACAGUCUCAAAUGCAACACCUGAACCCAAAUCCAAACUCUGCAACGUUCACACAACAGUUACAGAAGAGACCUAUGUAAGUUUCUGCCUCACAAGGAGGAAGAUCAGAAACAACAGAGAAGAUGAACUGUGGACACAAGAGCUCUUAAUCCAUCAGUCAAGAAAAUACAGAAGCUGGAGAAGGGCUACAGAAGACAAUACUCGAGGGCAUCUAGGAAAAGUCUGGCCCUGUCACAGCCCAGAGGGCGGAAAAAAAUCUCUGUUCUAAGCAAAGAUGGAGGAUCACUGCGAGGUAGCAUGUCCAGGGAAUGUCCAGGAAGAUGGGCAGAUAUGUUCUGCUCACCAAUCUUUUACACUCACAUAUCCCACAAGAUCACUGCAUGAAGAUGUGGGAUAGAAGCAGAAUGAUCACUAUCCAAUGUGGGGGGUCACUUCCAGCUCUGACUGUCUAGUUUGUUCUUGACUCCCAAAAACCUCAGCCCAGUAGAAGAAGGAGGUUGAGGAUAGGAAAUACAUAGGACUUUCUGGAGCUGGUGGCGCUCCAUGCUGCUGCUCCUGGAAACCAGAAAGCCUAGAGUUGCACACACCUCAUCCCUGCUCCACACUUCCCAUCUCUGCUCCACACACACUGCUAGAUGUCAACCCAUGCAGAACACACCACACUCCUGCUGCCCUACAUUGAUUACAUGGCACCAGGCUAGUCUAGACAUGCCACAUACUCCAAAACUGCUAGGUUUCAGGCUCUGAUGGACAUCUGCAGCUCACAAACCACAUUUACAAUUAGAUAGUAGGCCCUUACCCGACACUUUGUUACCCCCACACACUCAUAUCAAAGUCCACAUAGAUUACUAGGUAUCAGUUCAGGAUGACCCUUUCCCAAAACUCAUAUAACUGUAGGAGUCAAGACCUUACAAAUAUGUCCCCUCCAAGCUGCUGUGCUCAGAUAGCCUUGCUAGUAGUUGGUCCUCCGUGACAUUGUCUCUCCUGAUACUUCCCCAAAUGCAUUGAGUAGUAUUGGAACCAGCCUGAUACCAGCUCCCCAGCAGCCCCAUGUAAUUUCCUCUGUGUCAGGCCUUGCUGGACACUGACUAUGAAGCCUUACAUAUAAUGUGUAUCAAAUCCUAUUAGAGUACCCUCCCCCACUCCACCUACAGAGUCACUUCCCAGGCCCUGCUGGACACAAACUCCACCUCAUUGUCAUUCAA